CAAUAGCGUAUAUUAAAGUUGUUGCAGUUAAAAAGCUCGUAGUUGGAUUUCUGGUGGGCGCGAUCGGUCUGGCGCUUAGCGCGAGUACUUGCAUCGUCUCCGGCCAUCCUUGGGGAGAGUCUGUCUGGCAUUAAGUUGUCGGGCAGAGGAUCCUCAUCGUUUACUGUGAAAAAAUUAGAGUGUUCAAAGCAGGCUUAUGCCGUUGAAUAUAUUAGCAUGGAAUAAUAAGAUAGGACUUUGGUACUAUUUUGUUGGUUUGCGCACCAAAGUAAUGAUUAAUAGGGACAGUUGGGGGUAUUCGUAUUCCGUUGUCAGAGGUGAAAUUCUUGGAUUUACGGAAGACGAACUACUGCGAAAGCAUUUACCAAGGAUGUUUUCAUUAA
rnacentral:rRNA from 1 species